rnacentral:rRNA from 1 species
AACGUAGGGCGAGAGCGUUAUCCGUAUUCACUGGGCGUCAAGCGCGUUGAGGCGGCUCCGUAAGUUGGGCGUGAAAGCCCCGGGCUUAACCCGGGGAGGCCGUCCAAUACUGCGGGGCUUGAGGGCAGCAGAGGGAGGUGGAAUUCCCGGUGUAGUGGUGAAAUGCGUAGAUAUCGGGAGGAACACCCGUGGCGAAGGCGGCCUAAUGGGCUGCUACUGACGCUGAAGGCGAAAGCCAGGGGAGCGAACGGG